rnacentral:sRNA from 1 species
GUGCUUUUGGGAACGCGGGACGGGCGACCCGUGGAGCCAGGAGCGGGGCCGAGGCGCUGAGACGCGGCGGCGCGGCUGCCGGCUGCAUGGGAAGUUAAUGUUUACGGCGAAGUCUACUCAACGUUUCCAAGACAGGGUCUUGCUCUGUUGCCCAGACUGUAGUGCAGUGGGGUGAUCAUGGCUUACUGCAACCUUGACCUCCUGGGCUCAAGCAAUCCUCCCACCUCAGCCUCCUGAGUAGCUGGGAUUACAGGUGGCGACAGACAAAGUUGCAGAAAAGCUGAGCUCUACUCUCUCAUGGGUGAAGAACACAGUAUCGCA